AUGUAUCGCGCCGCUGGGAGCCAUCUCCGCUCUCUCAAGAAUCAUGGUGCUAGUAGGUUUGCUAGCACAAGUGUAGUGAAGCAAUCUUCAGGUGGUCUGUUUAGCUGGCUUCUUGGCGGAGGCUCAAGCCAACUACCCCCUCUUGAUGUUCCGCUCCCAGGCAUUACAAUUCCUCCACCCCUACCAGAUUUUGUUGAGCAAUCCAAGACAAAAAUCACUACUCUUCCAAAUGGCAUCAAGAUUGCAUCUGAGACAUCACCGGGCGCGGCUGCAUCAGUGGGUUUGUACAUUGACUGUGGUUCUAUUUAUGAAACACCUGCUUCAUCUGGAGCAUCGCAUCUAUUAGAGAGAAUGGCCUUCAGGAGCACAGCAAAUCGGAGUCACUUGCGGCUAGUUCGUGAGGUGGAAGCCAUCGGAGGAAAUGUCUCUGCAUCUGCUUCUCGUGAACAAAUGAGCUAUACCUAUGACGCACUGAAGAGUUAUGCACCAGAGAUGGUUGAAGUUCUCGUUGACAGUGUGAGGAAUCCAGCAUUCUUAGAGUGGGAGGUCAAAGAGCAGCUCCAGAAGAUAAAGUCUGAAAUAUCUGAAGUGUCUAGUAAUCCACAAGGUCUGCUUUUGGAGGCACUUCAUUCGGCUGGGUAUUCUGGGGCACUGGCGAAACCUCUGAUGGCUACAGAAUCUGCUAUAAGGAGAUUGGAUAUUAGUACCCUGGAGGAAUUCAUUCAUGAAAAUUACACUGCUCCCAGGAUGGUUCUUGCAGCAUCAGGACUUGAACAUGAUGAGUUGGUUUCGAUUGCGGAACCACUGCUCUCAGACCUUCCUGGUGUGAAACGUCAUGAAGAGCCAAAAUCGGUGUAUGUGGGAGGGGACUAUCGUUGCCAAGCAGAUUCUCCAAAUACGCACAUUGCACUUGCUUUUGAGGUGCCAGGUGGCUGGCGCCAAGAGAAAACUGCAAUGAUUGUGACUGUGCUUCAGAUGCUCAUGGGAGGAGGGGGGUCUUUCUCUGUUGGUGGCCCUGGGAAGGGAAUGCAUUCUCGAUUGUAUCUCCGUGUCUUGAACAAGUAUGACCAGAUCGAGUCAUUCUCUGCUUUCAACAGUAUCUACAAUGAUUCAGGUCUUUUUGGAAUUCAUGCAGCCACUAGCCCAGAUUUUGCAUCAACGGCCGUGGAUUUGGCAGCAGGGGAACUCCUUGAAGUUGCAACCCCUGGAAAAGUUACUCAAGAACAGCUUGAUCGUGCUAAAGAGGCUACCAAGGCUGCAGUUCUGAUGAACUUGGAAUCAAGAAUUGUGGCAUCUGAAGAUAUUGGAAGACAGGUUCUGACUUAUGGGCAAAGGAAGCCUGUUGAGUACUUCGUGAGAGCCGUUGAGGCGACCACCCUGAACGACAUCUCUACGGUUGCACAGAAGAUAAUCUCUUCACCGCUUACAUUGGCAUCAUGGGGCGACGUUAUCCACGUCCCGAGCUACGAGUCGGUCAGCCGGAAGUUCCUCUCCAAGUGA
rnacentral:rRNA from 1 species